CCGGCGCAUCUCCGGCGGCCCAGAUGCAGAUGGAGCACGCCAUGGGAAUUCCCCAUCCACCAUGGUCGCCGCCAUCAAGGGCUUCUUCACGGAGAUGUGGAGGACGCCAUGGACCUGCAGCUCCAAGGUCAACAGGGAGGAACCCUAGCCAUAAGCACCUCCUCGGAUGACGCCUCUGCUACACCAAGAUAGAGAUAUAUAUGAUAUCUACAUGGCUGCUAUGCUACUUUUUUUGUGUGAUGAAUCAUUGUGAGUUUCGAAGAAACUUCCAAUGUUACCUCCGCCAAGUUUGCCGGCAGAAGAAGCACAUCCAUUGAGCCGUUCAAUGUCUCCUGCGGUGGCUACACCAGAGGUAUGUAUCCCCUUGAAAGCUAAU